rnacentral:rRNA from 1 species
CGGACGGGUGAGUAACACGUGGAUAACCUACCUAUAAGACUGGGAUAACUUCGGGAAACCGGAGCUAAUACCGGAUAAUAUAUUGAACCGCAUGGUUCAAUAGUGAAAGACGGUUUUGCUGUCACUUAUAGAUGGAUACGCGCCGCAUUAGCUAGUUGGUAAGGUAACGGCUUACCAAGGCAACGAUGCGUAGCCGACCUGAGAGGGUGAUCGGCCACACUGGAACUGAGACACGGUCCAG